AUUGAACGCUGGCGGCGUGCCUAAUACAUGCAAGUAGGACGCAGUUGCGAACGGGUGAGUAACGCGUAGGUAACUACCUAUUAGAGGGGGAUAACUAUUGGAAACGAUAGCUAAUACCGCAUACUCGUAGAUGGCCCUGCGUUGUAUUAGCUAGUAGGUAGGGGAAUGGCCUACCUAGGCACCGAUACAUAGCCGGCCUGAGAGGGUGAGCGGCCAAACUGGGACUGAGACACGGCCCAGACGCCUAACGGAGGCAGCAGUAGGGAAAUGUCGGCAAUGGGGGGAACCCUGACCGAGCAACGCCGCGUGAGUGAAGAAGGUUUUCGGAUCGUAAAGCUCUGUUGAUAAGGAAGCGGUACUUAACCAGAAAGGGACGGCUAACUACGUGCCAGCAGCCGCGGUAAUUC
rnacentral:rRNA from 1 species